GAUGAAGAACGCAGCGAAAUGCGAUAAGUAAUGCGAAUUGCAGAAUUCCAGUGAAUCAUCGAAUCUUUGAACGCACAUUGCGCCCGCUAGUAUUCUAGCGGGCAUGCCUGUUCGAGCGUCAUUUCAACCAUCAAGCCCCAGGCUUGUGUUGGAGCCCUGCGGCCGUCCGCAGCCUCCUAAAAUCAGUGGCGGGCUCGCUAUCACACCGAGUGCAGUAGUUUACUCUUCGCUCAGGACGUGUAGCGGGUUCCGGCCGUGAAACCCCCCAAUUUUCAAGGUUGACCUCGGAUCAGGUAGGAAUACCCGCUGAACUUAAGCAUAUCAAUAAGCGGAGGA
rnacentral:misc_RNA from 1 species